UUGGUGAACAACGCGCAGCCCAUCUGUGGAGCGAAUACAAGCCAACUCAGAAUUUUACACAAAUAUUUAAGCAAGACAAAGAAUAAUUUUUGAGAGAUGGAUAGACUUUUCCGCAUUUUUCUUGGACUGUGUGUGAUGCUGGCCGCAGUGCAGGCGUCCACUGUUACUGUGUCCACACUCAAUACGACCGUGACCAACUCCACCUGUGGGACAAGUCGCGCAUGUUUCUCUGAUCCACUGUAGUGUUAAUUUCGUCAGACGAGACGAGAGGAAAUAUGUUCGUCAACAACCUUUUUUUUCAUGACUAA